CCUGAUCAGCCAUGCCGCGUGUGUGAAGAAGGCCUUUUGGUUGUAAAGCACUUUAAGCGAGGAGGAGGCUACCGAGAUUAAUACUCUUGGAUAGUGGACGUUACUCGCAGAAUAAGCACCGGCUAACUCUGUGCCAGCAGCCGCGGUAAUACAGAGGGUGCAAGCGUUAAUCGGAUUUACUGGGCGUAAAGCGCGCGUAGGUGGCCAAUUAAGUCAAAUGUGAAAUCCCCGAGCUUAACUUGGGAAUUGCAUUCGAUACUGGUUGGCUAGAGUAUGGGAGAGGAUGGUAGAAUUCCAGGUGUAGCGGUGAAAUGCGUAGAGAUCUGGAGGAAUACCGAUGGCGAAGGCAGCCAUCUGGCCUAAUACUGACACUGAGGUGCGAAAGCAUGGGGAGCAAACAGGAUUAGAUACCCUGGUAGUCCAUGCCGUAAACGAUGUCUACUAGCCGUUGGGGCCUUUGAGGCUUUAGUGGCGCAGCUAACGCGAUAAGUAGACCGCCUGGGGAGUACGGUCGCAAGAC
rnacentral:rRNA from 1 species